CCUGAGAAACCCGAAAGAUCGAAAGGGGAGAUUCAUCAUCAGCGACGUCGGCUUUUCGGUGGUUCCCGAUGCGCUGCGCCCACCUCGGUCGGGCGUUUGCCGCACGGGUCCUCCGUGCAAUCCCAUGUCCGGCGGCGUCGGCGUGCACUUCUCCCCUAGUAGGACGUCGCGACCCGUUGGGUGUCGGUCUACGGCUCGAGUCGUCGCCUGUCCCGUCGCUCGGCGUCUCGGGGCAGACGCUCGGUCGCCCGGCCGGCUGCCCGGCGGUACGCGCACGGUAUCUGGCCGCAAUUUCUUCUCGAACGCACUGCGUCUAAGGCCCGCCGCAAGCGCGGUCAGUGUAAACCCGGAGGUACGGACCUGGUGCCGUCCCCGGGCCUGGCCCGCUGUUCGCCGGCGGUGUUCUCUGACAGGCCACGAGCGAUGAUACCGGUCGGCGACGCUAUUGCUUUGGGUACUUUCAGG
rnacentral:rRNA from 1 species